rnacentral:rRNA from 1 species
AUUGAACGCUGGCGGCAGGCCUAACACAUGCAAGUCGAACGAGUGGCGGACGGGUGAGUACUGUCUGGGAAACUGCCUGAUUGAGGGGUCUAACUACUGGAAACGGUAGCUAAUACCGCAUACCAUUGGAUGUGCCCAUAUGGGAUUAGCUAGUAGGUGGGGUAAAGGCUCACCUAGGCGACGAUCCAUAGCUGGUGUGAGAGGAUGACCAGCCACACGGGAACUGAGACACGGGCAAGACUCCGACUAGAGGCAGCAGGAGGGAAUAUUGGACAAUGGGGGCAAGCCUGAUGCAGCCAUGCCGCGUGUAUGAAGAAGGCCUUCGGGUUGUAAAGUACUUUCAGCGGAGAGGCGUUACCCGCAGAAGAAGCACCGGCUAACUCCGUGCCAGCAGCCGCGGUAAUUC